GGGUGGGUUGGGGUAAAUGGGAGGUGGGAUGAGAAAGAAGUAAAAGUUUUAGGGGGAAAGUGAGAGGGAGUAAAAAUUUUGGGGGAAAAUAAAAAGUUUUGAGGGUUUUUGGGUGUAAAAUUUUAAGAAAAAGUAAAUGGGAGAGUAAAAUUUUUGUGGGAAAUAGAUUUUGGGUAGAUGGGGGAGUUGGGAUGGGAGGGGAGUAAAAGUUUUGGGGGGAAAGUGGGAAGGAGUAAAAGUUUUGAGAGAAAAAUAAAAAGGUUUGGGAGUUUGGGGUAAAAAUG
rnacentral:lncRNA from 1 species